rnacentral:tRNA from 1 species
GGGCAUGUGGUUUAGUGGUAUAACAUUCGCUUAGCAUGCGAAAGGCCUGUCGUUCAGUCCGCUGCUUGUCUA